rnacentral:rRNA from 1 species
UCCUCCGGGGGGCAGCAGUGGGGAAUAUUGCACAAUGGGGGAAACCCUGAUGCAGCAACGCCGCGUGCCGGACUCCGUUUUUGGGCUUGUCCCCUUCUGUUCUUCUUGCCGCCCCCUGCCGGUCGCUCCGGAGCACGCCACGGCUAACUACGUGCCAGCCGCCGCGGUCCUCCGUCGGUGGCCCGCGUUGGCCGGCCUUCCUGGGUGUCCCGGGCGCGCCGGCGGGCCGCCCCGUC